rnacentral:rRNA from 1 species
UACGUAGGGGGCAAGCGUUGUCCGGAAUUAUUGGGCGUAAAGAGCGUGUAGGCGGUCCGGUAAGUCAGCUGUGAAAGUCAAGGGCUCAACCCUUGAAAGCCGGUUGAUACUGUCGGGCUAGAGUCCGGAAGAGGCGAGUGGAAUUCCCGGUGUAGCGGUGAAAUGCGCAGAUAUCUGGAGGAAUACCGGGUGGCGAAGGCGGCAUCCUGGACCGGCAGUUGACGCGUGAGGAGCGGAAAGCUAAGGGGAGCAAACGGGGAUUAAGAA